UCCUCUCCCUCCCUCUGUCAUUGUCACUUCCUUCCUUUCCCCUCUGUAUGUACUCAUUUAGUAACUUUAUCAACUGCCUAUUACGUACCAUCCAGUGCAAUAAGCACUGUGAGCGUAAAGAUACCUAAGGCAUGACCCAUGCUGAAAUGACAUUCCCAUUGUCUUUGUUUCAGCUUCCAACUGCUCUAGAGUAUCCAAGCAGUCACUCCUGUUUAUUAAGCGUCUGUUAUGUGUCUGGCAUUUUCACGUAGCUCACUGUACUUAAUUCCGUCAUCUACCCAGAGAAAGAGCACCAAGGUCAGUUCCAGAUGGAUGAAUGGCUUUUUUUCUUCUUUAAUCCAAUGCAAGAUGCCAUAUGUCAUUUCCACAAUUGGGUGAACAGCUUUUGCGGUUUUGAGCAAAGACUUCCCUAUGAAGGACUUCAAGGUUCUUCCCCAACUCUGAAAGAGAAACCCCGUCUUAACAUGUUGGGAAUUAGAUGAAGACAAACACACGCCACAGAUAGCCAUCAUCUGACCUGGCUGGUGGAGCCGGUCUGCAGACCUCGCAGCCGGGUUGAUUUUUGCACGGGCUAUAACUUCGACACACAGAAUUUACGGCUUCUUUGAGGAACCAAUUUUCAAGCUAAGAGAACAAAUGAAAGUGUUCGCUCAUCUUUCGAAAAAUAUUUAUGCACUGAAUGUGUUCGCUGCUCUCCAUCGGGUUCUCAGUAAUAAAUACAGAAUGUGACGCCUCCUUUUCAC